ensembl:lncRNA
GUGGGUUGCCAUUUCCUUCUCCAAUGCAUGAAAGUGAAGUCACUCAGUCGUGUCUGACUCUUAGAGACCUCAUGGACUGCAGCCUACCAGGCUCCUCCAUUCAUGGGAUUAGGCAAGAGUACUGGAGUGGGGUGCCAUUGCCUUCUCUGAACAACCUUGCUGCUGCUGCUGCUAAGUUGCUUCAGUCGUGUCCGACUCUGUGCAGCCCCAUAAACAGCAGCCCACCAGGCUCCCCCGUCCCUGGGAUUCUCCAGGCAAGAACACUGGAGUGGGUUGCCAUUUCCUUCUCCAAUGCAUGAAAGUGAAAAGUGAAAGUGAAGUCGCUCAGUCGUGUCCAACUCUUAGCGACCCCAUGGUCGCUUCUCCAUCCAUGGGAUUUUCCAGGCAAGAGUACUGGAGUGGGGUGUCAUUGCCUUCUCCGAACAACCUUGCUAGUUGGGUUCUAUUGAUGUCAGCUUCAAUUUGUAAAUGAGGAGACACAGGUUUAGAGAGUGUAAGUAAUUCCGUAACAGCUUGUGAGUGGUAGAAGCUGGUGUUUAAACCCAACCAUUCUGUUCCUGGAGUCUAUGCUCUUAACCACCACGUUCUGCUGAACUUCAUUGAAUAAAUUACCCCUAAGUCCUUUCCCUUCAAGAACAAGUGAGCUAGAUUAAUUUUUUAAAGUAGGAAGAUUAAAAGUAUUUAGGCCUGGGGUGAGCAAAUGAAGUACUAUAGGCCAAAUAUGGAAAAGUUUGCUGAUCCCCUACUAUAACCAAAAACUGGCAAAUGAACAGAAGUAGAUUUAAGAGCUUGAAUUCCUCAGGAAUGUUGUUGUCCUCACCCCUCCUCUCAGUGCCUGGAGGGACCGCUUCCACGCCUGCACUGCAUUAGGAGGUGGGAUGGGCGUGGGGAGGAAAGAAACCUCUGACCCAGUUGCUGCUGCUGCUAAGUCGCUUCAGUCGUGUCCGACUCUGUGCGACCCCAGAGACGGCGUUCGUUGCAUUUCCUGGGUGGAGGAGGAAGGUGAAAGGAUGCUCGCAGAGACCAACAACCAUCUCUUCCUGCCACUUUGAAUUAGACUUCUCUGGAUAUCUCAGGCAGAUUCUUUACCUGCUGGGCUACCUGGGAAGCCCAAACAUUGGGCUUGGGAAGAUCCCCUGGAAGAGAAAAUGACAAUCACUCCAGUAUUCUUUCCUGGUAAAUCCCAUGGACAGAAGAGCCUGGUGGGCUACGGUCCAGUGAGUCUCAAGGAGUUGGACACGACUGAGUGACUAAGCACAACACAAAAUGAAAUCUAUUAGUGGAAUUUGGGGAGCAAAUACAAGCCUGUUGGCAAAACUGCCUACAGAUCCCUGUGAUACAACUUGGUACUGGAGAUACAGAUGGAGAGAGACAGAAGCCAUCUUCUGGGAGAUGCUCUGAGAUACCCCUGCUC